ACGCACGCUGGCGGCGUGCUUAACACAUGCAGGUCGAACGGAAAGGCCCUGCUUGCAGGGUACUCGAGUGGCGAACGGGUGAGUAACACGUGGGUGAUCUGCCCUGCACUUCGGGAUAAGCUUGGGAAACUGGGUCUAAUACCGGAUAGGAGCCAUCUUUAGUGUGGUGGUUGGAAAGUUUUUUCGGUGUAGGAUGAGCUCGCGGCCUAUCAGCUUGUUGGUGGGGUAAUGGCCUACCAAGGCGGCGACGGGUAGCCGGCCUGAGAGGGUGUACGGCCACAUUGGGACUGAGAUACGGCCCAGACUCCUACGGGAGGCAGCAGUGGGGAAUAUUGCACAAUGGGCGCAAGCCUGAUGCAGCGACGCCGCGUGGGGGAUGAAGGCCUUCGGGUUGUAAACUCCUUUCGCUAGGGACGAAGCUUUUUGUGACGGUACCUAGAUAAGAAGCACCGGCUAACUACGUG
rnacentral:rRNA from 1 species